rnacentral:SRP_RNA from 1 species
GACUGGAAGGAAGCAGGCCAAAGCUGUUCCAGUGCGUUGCGG